GGAGGGCGCAAGCGUUGUUCGGAAUUACUGGGCGUAAAGGGCGGGCAGGCGGUCUGUUAAGUCUUUUGUGAAAAUCCGGGGCUCAACCCCGUGAAACGCAGAAGAUACUGGCAGACUUGAGACCAGUAGAGGCUAGCGGAAUUCCUGGUGUAGCGGUGGAAUGCGUAGAUAUCAGGAAGAACACCUGUGGCGAAGGCGGCUAGCUGGGCUGGAUCUGACGCUCAUCCGCGAAAGCGUGGGGAGCAAACAGGAUUAGAUACCCUGGUAGUCCACGCCGUAAACGAUGGGUACUAGAUGCCCGGGUCUAUAGACAGGGUCGGUGUCGCAGCUAACGCAUUAAGUACCCCCGCCUGGGGAUACGGCCGCAAGGCUG
rnacentral:rRNA from 1 species